rnacentral:ncRNA from 2 species
AAAGAAUAUAAAAGUUCAGGUGCUGCAUAUGCAGUUAAAAGGGAAAUGGGUGAGAAUCCCAUGCGGUCCCGCCACUGUGAGGGGGAGCGGUCUAGAAAUGCCACUGAUUUAAUCGGGAAGGCCUAGGCAGCUGUGAACCAUAGCCAGGAAACCUGCCUGAUCUAUUAUUUAAGC